rnacentral:rRNA from 1 species
UCUCAGUUCGGAUCGGAGUCUGNAACCCGACUCCGUGAAGCUGGAUUCGCUAGUAAUCGCGCAUCAGCCAUGGCGCGGUGAAUACGUUCCCGGGCCUUGUACACACCGCCCGUCAAGCCAUGGGAGCCGGGGGUGCUUGAAGUGCGUCGCCGCAAGGCGCGCCCUAGAGCAAAACCGGUGACUGGGGCUAAGUCGUAACAAGGUAGC